UGGGGGAUAUUGCACAAUGGGGGAAACCCUGAUGCAGCGACGCCGCGUGAGUGAAGAAGUAUUUCGGUAUGUAAAGCUCUAUCAACAGGGAAGAUAAUGACAGUACCUGACUAAGAAGCCCCGGCUAACUACGUGCCAGCAGCCGCGGUAAUACGUAGGGGGCAAGCGUUAUCCGGAUUUACUGGGUGUAAAGGGAGCGUAGGCGGCCAGUCAAGUCAGAAGUGAAAGCCCAGGGCUCAACCCUGGGACUGCUUUUGAAACUGUCUGGCUGGAGUGUCGGAGAGGUAAGUGGAAUUCCUAGUGUAGCGGUGAAAUGCGUAGAUAUUAGGAGGAACACCAGUGGCGAAGGCGGCUUACUGGACGAUAACUGACGCUGAGGCUCGAAAGCGUGGGGAGCAAACAGG
rnacentral:rRNA from 1 species